rnacentral:lncRNA from 1 species
AGAACAGAAUCCCCACUGUUAAAAUCUAUGCUAUUUGUGUGCAUCUGUAACUAUUUGUAUAAAUUCAGGAAGUAUUUUUGUAACAGAUUAUGUAACACUGAAGACUAAAAUGUGUCUCUAUCGGCGAAUAUGUUUAGAAGACUACACAGAGCGGUAGCAAAUUGGCGCGACACAAACUUUACCACUGUGAACAUCUAUUCAGGUCAUACAUCAGUAGCAUCAUCCUCACGUAUGAAGAAACCAUAAAUGUGCCAACUAUUAGAAAAGCUCUGUACU